rnacentral:rRNA from 1 species
GAUGAACGCUGGCGGCGUGCCUAAUACAUGCAAGUCGAGCGAACGGACGAGAAGCUUGCUUCUCUGAUGUUAGCGGCGGACGGGUGAGUAACACAUGGAUAACCUACCUAUAAGACUGGGAUAACUUCGGGAAACCGGAGCUAAUACCGGAUGAUAUUUUGAACCGCAUGGUUCAAAAGUGAAAGACGGUCUUGCUGCCACUUAUAGAUGGAUCCGCGCUGCAUUAGCUAGUUGGUAAGGUAUCGGCUUACCAAGGCAACGAUGCAUAGCCGACCUGAGAGGGUGAUCGGCCACACUGGAACUGAGACACGGUCCAGACUCCUACGGGAGGCAGCAGUAGGGAAUCUUCCGCAAUGGGCGAAAGCCUGACGGAGCAACGCCGCGUGAGUGAUGAAGGUCUUCGGAUCGUAAAACUCUGUUAUUAGGGAAGAACAUAUGUGUAAGUAACUGUGCACAUCUUGACGGUACCUAAUCAGAAAGCCACGGCUAACUACGUG